AUGGGCAAUCCAAGGGCCAGGAAUACCCGGGAUCGGGUCAUGCAAGUUCAGUCUUCCUCCCCGAGCCGUCCGGGCGUGCAUGCUAUUUAUAAGUGGAGUGGAGAUCAGUGGAUCCACACCGUCCCAAGCACGACCGUGUCCAUGGCUGGGAAAAUGGAGGCCAAGCUCGCGGCCCCCGCGCUGCUCUCACUCGUCGCACUCACCCUGCUCGCGCACACGCUCCUCCUCCACCGUCCGCGCGCCACCGCCUGGCUCCUCUCCACCGUCGACGCCUUCGGGUUCGACGGCCGCCGCCUCGUCGAGCUCGUCAACAGGAGAAACAUGAUCCUCCUCUGCAACGCCAUCCUCCUGGUCAUCCUCAAGGACGCCGGGCUCCUGGCUGCUCCAGCUCGGCCACGCAGCUCCGCGGCCGUAACGGCCCGUGGAGCUGCGUGCUCCAGCUCCGAGGCACGGCCUCAGCCCAAGACUCGGCGGACCAGUACGGCGGCUGGCGCGACCGGCGACGACGAAGGUCGUCUCGAGCGUGAACAUCGAGGCGCUGAGACGGCCACGGCGCGAGUACGGCGCAGGAAGCCGCUGACGAGAGCGAGAGAGGGGGAAUAUGCCGCGACGGUCCAAGACAUGGAUCCCGCGGAGAAACAGAGAUCGGACUACAGCUUCAACCACUUUCAUCAUGGUGCUGGCUAUGAGAUUGCCGUGGUGGCGGAUAGGAUCUCUAGUUUGCAUGACGAGGGAAGCAGAGGAGGGGAGCACACGACCCGGCAGAAAGCACAGCCUGAGAUAGUUGACGACGUGGACGAGAUGAACAAGAAAUUCGAAGAGUUCAUCGCCAGCAUGAGGAGGAAGAUGCAUCUCGAGACCCUGCAGCUGCAGCAGCAGGUCGAGGUCUAG
rnacentral:rRNA from 1 species